rnacentral:tRNA from 2 species
GCCCAGGUGGCGGAAUUGGCAGACGCGCAACGUUGAGGUCGUUGUGGGGGAAACCCCUUGCUGGUUCAAAUCCAGUCCUGGGCA